CCUACGAGGGGCUGCAGUGGGGAAUAUUGGGCAAUGGGCGCAAGCCUGACCCAGCAACGCAGCGUGAAGGAAGAAGGCUGUCGGGUUGUAAACUUCUUUUGUCAGGGAAGAGUAGAAGACGGUACCUGACGAAUAAGCCACGGCUAACUACGUGCCAGCAGCCGCGGGAAUACGUAGGUGGCAAGCGUUGUCCGGAUUUACUGGGUGUAAAGGGCGUGUAGCCGGGUUGACAAGUCAGCUGUGAAAUCCUACGGCUUAACCCCAGAACUGCAUUUGAAACUGUUGGUCGUGAGUACUGGAGAGGCAGAUGGAAUUCGUAGUGUAGCGGUGAAAUGCGUAGAUAUUAGGAGGAACACCAGUGGCGAAGGCAGUCUGCUGGACAGCAACUGACGGUGAGGCGCGAAAGCGUGGGGAGCAAACAGGAUUAGAUACCCCAGUAGUC
rnacentral:rRNA from 1 species